rnacentral:piRNA from 1 species
CAACAAUGGUUCUAGCUUUGGACCUGUGCCC